GGUAGCACAUGCAUGCUGGGGCGCUGGCAGGGACCCUCCUCCCUGAUGCAUUCAUCACCCUCACAUCACCAACGCUCAUCACUCACGCUCUCAACACCAGCAGAAGGAGCAAGGAGAAAUCCGGAGAUCAUCAUAAAUCUACGCCCAAAUGCCAGGGGGCCGAGAGACAAGAGUCCCAUUUUUCUCUGUUUGUAAAGAGUUCGGAUGGUCUUCCAAGAGCUGACAUGAUCUGGCACGGAGGACGCCUGUGAUAAAGCCCAGAGUAAAAUCGUCUGGAUGCCAUUCACCUCUCUUCCUACCUGAGCAGCUGCUGGGACGUUUGGUACAGUCAAGAAAGGAAUUGUCCUCGAUGCUGUUCUGAACCUAGGGGACGGCGCUCAGCCUUUUGUCAUUAGGGAUUAUGUCAGCUGUGGGUUCUACGGACGUG